rnacentral:lncRNA from 1 species
UCCCACUUGUCAAAAUUUUCCCACUUUUUGCUUCCCCUUGCCGGCCCUUCCCUAUUCCCUCACUGUUUCUCUGAAUAUUUUUCAUUUUCUUCCUCCUUGUGCUGCCCCAUUAAACACCAACUCCCAUUGUAUCAUAUUUUAUUUUAUUGUUGUUUUUUUACUACUAUUAUCACAGCUCUGCAAUCCCUUUUCUUCUCCAUUGUCGAAGUCCCUGUGAGCCACCAUCUUUUUCAUCGAUACCCUUUUGAUUCUCUUCUUCUACUAUUCAUUAUUUUUUUGUCGUCACAGAUCUAAGCAAGUAGAGUAAGUGUAAAAUUUUUACUUUAAUUCUUUCAAAUCUAAAUUUUUCUCUUAUUUUCAUAUUUUGUUAUGGUCGAAUCUUACAAGUUACCUUUUCUUUGGUGUUUGAAUGUUCAAGAUCUAGAUUCAAACCAUACCGAUCAGUCAUAGCAUUGGGAAGUCCAUUUGCAAAGCAGUCAUAAGUUAGUCAAGGUAAGCAUUAAGUUUUUAACUUUAGAUCAGAAGUUUUUGGUUAACAUUUGUUGGUCGAUCGAACCCAAUAAGGGCGUUGGGGGCUGAUUAUUAAUGAUUAAAACUUUAUUUGGUACAGAUCCAAGUUGGAGCUAUCUAGAUUUCAAGCAUAAGAGUUGUGGGAGAGCAAUAAAGUUUGGAUUAGCAUUAAAAAGUGUGGGUCUUCCCCUAUGUCUAAUUAACUUGAAAAUCAUAUAAUGUACACUUAAAUGAUAAAUUUUCUUGUUGGUUUUGGUUUGGUCGAAUGACUUAUGUGGAAAUAAGUGAGGUGUCGAGCAAGGUACGCUAUCAAUUAGAAAGACUGUUUGUUAAAGGUCCUGUUUGGGUAAUGAAAUUGUGUAUUGAAUGCAUGUAUAGCAUGCUAGAUUUUGAAACACCGAUUAAGGUGCAUUUUUAUGCCAUGAUUGAUAUUAAUUAUAUGCAACCAUGUAAGCAUGCCAUUGUUACCGUUAAAUGAAAAAUACGUAAAGCAUACAUCGAAGCCAAAUAUUGGCAUCCCUGUUAAACAUGCCAUUAUAUUACUGAAAGCAUGAUAUGCUACACGAUUGAUAUGUCAUAUUGAAUUGCAUGGGUUUGGGUAUUUGAGGUUGAUGGAGGAGUUCCAUGGAGUAUCGACGGCAUUUAAAGUCAACAAUAUUAUUAUCAGUUCACUGCACCGAAGUACCGAAGAGAUUGGGCGAUUUAUCGCAUUUUACUAGCAGUUUUAUUUGCAAACUAGUACUGGUGGUUUUAACCACGUUGAGCUUCGACUCUCACUCUUUUGGAGUUUGGAUGAUAAGUUUUGGAGAACUCGUGAUAUGUAGCGGAUGGAUGGGUAAGACCAUUGCAUUGUAUCAUUGAGCAUGCCAUAUUCAUAUAUUGUAAUAUCAUGAUAAAUUGUUUGAGUUGUUCAAAUAAUUGUGUGCCUAUUUGACCGAUUGAAUCCUUAUAUUGCUUAAACUCACAUUGGGCUUUUAAAGCUCACCCCCCAAUUUACUCUUUACAAGUAACCCUCAGGAUUUGGCUGGGGCUAGGCAUACGGAGGUCUCAUUUCAGAUUUUCUGGUAAUAAAGUAUUUUUAAUUACUCUAUUUAUUUUGGUAUUAUUAUUUUGGGACUGUAAUUUUUAUUUAAGUACAAACUGUGGAAUGAGAUAUUUUUAAAUUGGGUUUUUGCACGCAUA